rnacentral:misc_RNA from 1 species
CAAAGGAUCCCCAUUUUCUCCACAAGGGGAAUGAUUGAUGACUUCCGAGGAAACAGGACAAUGUCCGUUGGAUUGGAUAGAUGCUGGGCUCUCCUUCAAGGCAGGAAUGUUUGAUUCCAUUGUUGUAAUCGUCCCUUCUGUAGCUUCUUGCUGUUGUAGGAGUUCCAUGCGCCUCAAUGAUGGCACAUCUCCUUUACAGUACCUCUGCCACAUUUUACGAUAUGUGGACUCCAAACCAAGGAUGAAAUUUGG